rnacentral:rRNA from 1 species
AGACCCGAAACCCGGUGAUCUAGCCAUGGGCAGGUUGAAGGUUGGGUAACACUAACUGGAGGACCGAACCGACUAAUGUUGAAAAAUUAGCGGAUGACCUGUGGCUGGGGGUGAAAGGCCAAUCAAACCGGGAGAUAGCUGGUUCUCCCCGAAAGCUAUUUAGGUAGCGCCUCGUGAAUUCAUCUCCGGGGGUAGAGCACUGUUUCGGCUAGGGGGCCAUCCCGGCUUACCAACCCGAUGCAAACUGCGAAUACCGGAGAAUGUUAUCACGGGAGACACACGGCGGGUGCUAACGUCCGUCGUGAAGAGGGAAACAACCCAGACCGCCAGCUAAGGUCCCAAAGUCAUGGUUAAGUGGGAAACGAUGUGGGAAGGCCCAGACAGCCAGGAUGUUGGCUUAGAAGCAGCCAUCAUUUAAAGAAAGCGUAAUAGCUCACUGGUCGAGUCGGCCUGCGCGGAAGAUGUAACGGGGCUAAACCAUGCACCGAAGCUGCGGCAGCGACACUCAGGUGUUGUUGGGUAGGGGAGCGUUCUGUAAGCCUGUGAAGGUGGCCUGUGAGGGUUGCUGGA